CUACAAUAGAACGUUAAGAACCCAGUACAAAACUUAUCACAGCAAGAGAACUUUUAAAAUCCGUUAUCUCAAAAGACCAUACCAAACUUUAGGUUUUUUCAAGUGCACACAAGGAGGAAGAUGUCGAAUAUUGAAGCAAAGUAGGUCCAAGAAUAUAACUUUGAUCCUAAAAUUGAGGUAAGUCCUGGAAUACUCGUACAAUCCUUUGAUAA
rnacentral:lncRNA from 1 species